rnacentral:rRNA from 1 species
GAUGAACGCUGGCGGCGUGCUUAACACAUGCAAGUCGAACGGUGAAGCAGAGCUUGCUCUGUGGAUCAGUGGCGAACGGGUGAGUAACACGUGAGCAACCUGCCCCGGACUCUGGGAUAAGCGCUGGAAACGGCGUCUAAUACCGGAUACGAGAUUCCACCGCAUGGUGAGUUUCUGGAAAGAUUUUUUGGUCUGGGAUGGGCUCACGGCCUAUCAGCUUGUUGGUGAGGUAAUGGCUCACCAAGGCGUCGACGGGUAGCCGGCCUGAGAGGGUGACCGGCCACACUGGGACUGAGACACGGCCCAGACUCCUACGGGAGGCAGCAGUGGGGAAUAUUGCACAAUGGGCGGAAGCCUGAUGCAGCAACGCCGCGUGAGGGAUGACGGCCUUCGGGUUGUAAACCUCUUUUAGCAGGGAAGAAGCGAAAGUGGCGGUACCUGCAGAAGAAGCACCGGCUAACUACGUGCCAGCAGCCGCCGUAAGAC